CCCCGCCCUCCCACGUUGGGGGAGCGAUCCCGCCCUGGGCUGUGGCCACGCCCCCCGCCCCGCCCGGCUGCGAGGAAGAGGUGGGCGGGGCUAAGGGGGGGUGUGGGCGGGGCUUACGGUGUGGGAAUGGCCAAUGGAGAAGUGGGGCUGACGGGGGCGGGGCUUAUCGGUGCCUAUUGGCGAGGGCUGUUUAAAUGGGGGCGUGGCCUCACAUCGGAUGGGCGUGGUCAUGGCCCAGAAGGGGGGCGUGGUUAUUCAAAUAGAUGUGGGAGGUGGGCGUGGUUGUGAAGGGAGCGGGCGUGGCUAAAGCGGGGGGCGUGGUUAAAGGGAUGCGAAUAUGCAAAUUGUGGGCAUUUGGCUGCGUGGGCGUGGCCACAAAGAGGGCGUGGCGAUUCAAAUAGAUUGGCAUGUGGGGGCGUGGCCAUAAUGGGUGUGGGCGUGGUCAACCGGUGAGUGGGCGUGGCUACGGAGUGGGCGGGGUUAUGUCAACAGGCUGUGCUGCGGGGGGGGGGGGUGGGGGGGGCGUGGUCACAGGCUGCGUGGGCGUGGUUAAGAUGGGGGCGUGGCCACCGCUGGGCGUGUCUAUUUAAAUGAGCAGUGCUGAUGAAUGGGCGGAGUUGACAUGGGCGUGGCCUUUGGGUGGGGGCGUGGCUUGCAUUGGGGGGCGUGGCUUUGUGUGACGUCACUUUUUAGGGCGCUUGAACUGGGGGCGGAGGAGUCGGGGGCCCCAUUGAAGAGAGCGGAGUUGGACCCCCAUCUGGUGCCCCCCCUGGGGCUGGGGCUGUUGCUGAGCGGGGAUGACCCCCCCGGACUGAACCCCCACCUGAGGCAGGAGCAGCCCCUCGUGCUGCUGAGUGAUGGCAUGGCCCUGGGGGGGGUCCCAACAUUGGGGCCCCCCAGGGGGGGAGAGGAGCUUAAAGGAUCCCCCCACAACCAAUGUUUGGAGAGGAACUGAAGGAGGGGGGGGCCACAUGCCCCCCCCUCCGCCAAACAUAACCCCCCUGCCAUCCGAUAGGGCCCCCCCCCCCCAAACAAAGAUAACAACCAAAGGGGGAAAGGGGGGGAGGGGGAGGUUGGAACACUGCCCCUCCCCCCCCAUCACCAACAGGGGACCCCAAAAUAGUGCCCCCCCCCCCUUAUAACUGCAUAGAUCAUACACCAUAAACUUGAUAUGGGGGAGGGGGGGGGAGCAAAUGUGAGCCCCCCCCCCCCCAACUUCCAGGUGCUUAAAAUGGGGGGGGGCACCCAAAUGUUCCCCAUAUAUUCCCUCCCCAUUACAUCACCCCCCAAUCAGAGCCCCUCCCAUCGCCCCCCAUAUAUUGCCCCCCAUGUAUUACCCCCCCAAUCAGAGCCCCCUCAAAUCAGACUCCCCCACAUACAUUCCCCCCCAUCAUCCCCUUUCCAAUCUGACCCCCCCAGUAUGAGCCCAC
rnacentral:lncRNA from 7 species